rnacentral:rRNA from 1 species
UACGAAGGGGGCGAGCGUUGUUCGGAUUUACUGGGCGUAAAGGGCGCGCAGGCGGUUCUGUUUGUCGAGUGUGAAAGCCCCGGGCUCAACCUGGGAACUGCGCUCGAAACGGCGGAACUAGAGUUCGGGAGAGGAGAGUGGAAUUCCCAGUGUAGAGGUGAAAUUCGUAGAUAUUGGGAAGAACACCGGUGGCGAAGGCGGCUCUCUGGGUCCGCCCUGACGCUGAGGCGCGAAAGCGUGGGGAGCGAACGGG